rnacentral:rRNA from 1 species
UACGAAGGGGGCUAGCGUUGUUCGGAUUUACUGGGCGUAAAGCGCACGUAGGCGGAUCGUUAAGUCGGGGGUGAAAUCCUGGAGCUCAACUCCAGAACUGCCUUCGAUACUGGCGAUCUUGAGUCCGGAAGAGGUGAGUGGAAUUCCCAGUGUAGAGGUGAAAUUCGUAGAUAUUGGGAAGAACACCGGUGGCGAAGGCGGCUCACUGGCUCAUUACUGACGCUCAUGCGCGACAGCGUGGGGAUCAAACAGG